rnacentral:sRNA from 1 species
UGACUCUCCAUUUUGAAAUCUAAAGAUGCAGAUUCCAGGAACAGGGAAGGUGGCUCAGUGGGUAAGGUGUGUGACAACAAUUAAGGGGGGACGGGACAAGGACUUUGAUUCUCACAGAGCCUUGGGGCUACACAGAAGGCGCUCCCAAAUAUGGCAAUGCUAUUUUUCAGCAAGUAACUGUGUCUUUGACUGCCAGAUCAUGUAGGUCUAUGCUGCAUGGAAUGGAACUAGAUGUGUCUGGGGACAACCCCUUGGCCAUAUUACCUUAGCACUGCUGUGUCAUUUCCCUCCAUGAUCCUGCUUCCCAGACUGAGCCUGGCAUGAAGAUUAAGCUCAGAUUUCCCCACCCCCGCCUGCAGUUGUUUGCACAACGACGGGCUGAAAUGCACUUUGUCCAUGUGGCUACUGAAAGCAAAGCACUAACGAAGCCAGUGUCUUUCCCAGCUGUGUCAAUCUAAAACCCAGAUGGGUGAGCCCAGUCUUCAACAAGCCAUAGGAGUGGCAUGGAGGAAAAUGAUGUGGCAAUCAUGGAAGAGUUGAUACUCUACAGAGUUUGAGAAUCUUCAAAUCUGCAGAUCCUGCUGUGAUAAUCAUUCUGUCCAUAGGAUGCUGUCUUUGUUUCUGCAAUUAAAUACUCUUGCAAAAGCAA